GACGAACGCUGGCGGCGUGCUUAACACAUGCAAGUCGAACGGAAAGGCCCUGCUUUUGUGGGGUGCUCGAGUGGCGAACGGGUGAGUAACACGUGAGUAACCUGCCCCUGACUUUGGGAUAACUUCAGGAAACUGGGGCUAAUACCGGAUAGGAGCUCCUGCUGCAUGGGGGGGGUUGGAAAGUUUCGGCGGUUGGGGAUGGACUCGCGGCUUAUCAGCUUGUUGGUGGGGUAGUGGCUUACCAAGGCUUUGACGGGUAGCCGGCCUGAGAGGGUGACCGGCCACAUUGGGACUGAGAUACGGCCCAGACUCCUACGGGAGGCAGCAGUGGGGAAUAUUGCACAAUGGGCGGAAGCCUGAUGCAGCAACGCCGCGUGCGGGAUGACGGCCUUCGGGUUGUAAACCGCUUUCGCCUGUGGCGAAGCGUGAGUGACGGUAAUGGGUAAAGAAGCACCGGCUAACUACGUG
rnacentral:rRNA from 1 species